UGGUGUAUAAAGAUAGUAUACAGAGUAGCCCGCCAGGGCUCUUGGAAGAAGAGCGAUUGCUACUCUUCUGGGUUAAUAGAAUCCAGUUAGCGUGUCUUAUAGGUAUCAGUGUUAUGUUGUAACGGUGAUGGUAUUAAUGAAGGGGAUAAUUUAAAAUUAAACUAAACUGUCCGUAAGAGUUUUAUUUUUAUUCCAGACUUCCAAAGAGUACGAUCUCCGGGAUGAACCAAGAUCGGCUGACAGGUCUGAGUCCACAAGGGACUCCCUGGGCUGCCUCAAUUUGGCACUGCAAGCAGGGUUCCAACAAGGGCUACAUUUGAGUGAAACUGGAAAAGAGGAGUUCCAUCGAAGGGUUGGACUCCAGACCAAUGGGCCCACAAGGUACAGAAAGCUAUUAAAACCCACAAUAACCACCGGCAAGAUGCUGAGGUUGCACAAUUCAGCCGAGAGGUUUGUUACUUCUGAGAACUAAAGGAUCCCAAGAGUAAGGCUGCCAUCGGCAUGGUCAAGACAGAACUUGCCCAAACUACAGUGGCUAACCUUAAACCCAGGAUU